UACAAAGGGGGCUAGCGUUGCUCGGAAUCACUGGGCGUAAAGGGUGCGUAGGCGGGUCUUUAAGUCCGGGGUGAAAUCCUGGAGCUCAACUCCAGAACUGCCUUUGAUACUGAAGAUCUUGAGUUCGGGAGAGGUGAGUGGAACUGCGAGUGUAGAGGUGAAAUUCGUAGAUAUUCGCAAGAACACCAGUGGCGAAGGCGGCUCACUGGCCCGAUACUGACGCUGAGGCACGAAAGCGUGGGGAGCAAACAGG
rnacentral:rRNA from 1 species